CACGAAGUCGGAAUUGCUAGUAAUGGCAGGUCAGCAUACUGCCGUGAAUACGUUCCCGGGCCUUGUACACACCGCCCGUCACACCAUGAGAGUUAGGAAUACCCGAAGCCUGUGAGCUAACUUUUAGAGGCAGCAGUCGAAGGUAGAACUAAUGAUUGGGGUGAAGUCGUAACAAGGUAAC
rnacentral:rRNA from 1 species